AUGAACGCUGACAGAAUGCUUAACACAUGCAAGUCGACUGGAAUUUUNUCGUGGAAUAGUACGGUGGCGGACGGGUGAGUAACGCGUAAAGAAUUUGCCCUUCAGACUGGGACAACUAACCGAAAGGUUAGCUAAUACCGGAUNUUAUGAGACCUUGGCAUCAAGGAUUCAUGAAAGCUAUAUGCGCUGGAGGAGAACUUUGCGUCCCAUUAGGUAGUUGGUAGGGUAAUGGCCUACCAAGCCGACGAUGGGUAGCCGGCCUGAGAGGGUGAACGGCCACAAGGGGACUGAGACACGGCCCUUACUCCUACGGGAGGCAGCAGUGGGGAAUAUUGGACAAUGGACCAAAAGUCUGAUCCAGCAAUUCUGUGUGCACGAUGAAGGUCUUCGGAUUGUAAAGUGCUUUCAGGUGGGAAGAAGAAAGUGACGGUACCACCAGAAGAAGCGACGGCUAAAUACGUGCCAGCAGCCGCCGUAAC
rnacentral:rRNA from 1 species